GAAUUCCACUGGCCAAGGAUGGAGAGAAGACAAUCUUUCCCUGUGAGCACGAGGCAGCCCUCAGAUUGUGCAUGCCGUGACCUUGAAGACCAGGCUUAAGCACCUGCUCUGGCAACUAAAUUCCAGAGAUCAGUGAGCUAUUCAGGUGGUCUGGUAUAAAUGUCAAGCUCAAGUGGUUGGCUGAAGUCCAUCUCAGAUGUUUCAGCAUGGUUUCUGCUUGUAAGAUCCCUAAUGUGGCAGUUUGGGGCAGGGUUUGUUUCUCUCGUAUUUCCAGACUGAGUCCUGGCUUCAAAGCUGUGGACAACAGGGACUCUGAAUUACUCCUUGACCUUUUCUCACACAGUAGGUGACCAGAAGUCAGAAGUCUCAUGGGGACAUUGUCUUAUUGCAUGUAACCUUUUCUCAUUGUCACAGAGUUUGUGUAAGGUGGAGCAAUGUGUGAUGGAUGCUCUUGUCUCAUAUUGAUCAGAUUAUUCUUACAACAGAGUCUGGGCUUCCACUUUUCCCUACUGGGGAGCAGCAUCUCCUGGAGAGGCCAAAGAAAAGGGCUGAUCAGACAGGUUUCACAUUUGUUGCAAGCAUGCUGAUUGAAAAAAACUACCCCAACAACAUAAUCUCAUGUAGAAAGUAUCAGUUCCCCAAUUCAGAGAGAAGUCUUCUGCAUCAGCUUUGAACACUUAGAAGUGGAUUCCCUUCAGAAGCCACCUGAAAGGUCAGUGUUUACCUUAAAAUUCAAAUGAACUACAAAUAAAGGCAAGAGCAGAGGGCAAGUCAUUCCAUCUACUCUGGCAACUGUCUUUGGAUAGAUGAACCCCAUUUUGGCAAGCCACCUCUUCUCUGACCAGACAGGUGGCCAACAUGGCUAGCUUAGAUUAGAUGCUGGACUCCUGAAAAGCUAAAUCUAGGUAAUAGGAAUCCCAACCUUAACAUUUUAAUCUUAAGACAAACUGAGUGGCUCUGGGCCCACCAACACAGGCUAUUGUCCCUUUUCCAAAAAAACAAGCACUUUAUGCCAGAUAAAUUUUAGAAGUGGUUGCCUCUCAGCUGAGAUGUGGCACUGUAGUACUCCUGCUGCCAGAGCAUUCCUGCUCUGCUGAUACACAGAAAAAUACCUCCUCAGCUGCAUGCUGAGCAGUGAGAAGCCUCAGGCUGAGAACAACAGAAUGCUCAAGUGAUUUUGGCUAGUACAUCUGAAUAAAAGAACCUUCGUAAUAUUAGAACAACAAAACACUUAACUGCUCUUAGAACAAACCACUUUAUGCACAGUAGCAAAGUGAUCCUCGCUAGAAUGCAGUGGUAUCUCAACAAGGGAUCCAUGCCUAACCUUUCCAGCAUUAAUCACUGGAAACUCCCACGCCACCAAUGUGCUUUUACUUGUACGCUAUGGAAAUAAUGGUCUCAUCUGUACACACGAAGUUAGGGGAAAGGCAAUGGCACAGAGCCCUGGGUAGCUUGUGCAUGCUGUAUAGUGAAAACUGGCAGUGUCUCCUUUUACAGGAGCUAAAAUACUCUGCUCAAAAAUAAGGACAAUAAGAAACAGUUGAAAGCCACUUCUGGUACCAGUGUAUUUACUGGUUCUCACUUUGAGACCCGAAAGUGCUUCUGCCUUUUAAAAAUCUAAGCAUACACAAAGCAGAAAAUUUAAUUAGUUAAUUCUGUAAUGAGACCCAGACGCAGGAACCCAUGAGGAUUUUCUCUUCCAUGUUCAACUCCACAUUUCACACCCAGAGAAACUACACACUGGCUUUGGCUCCCAGCACCAUCACUGAACGCCUUCCAGCUUGGAGAGGAGAAAGCCUUCUCUGGUUACCUUCAGGCUUGUCCUUGGGGCAGAGGAGGAGAGGGAAAGGACAAAUCUGCAUCAGCAUCAGGAAAAGACCAGUGUCUGAGCUGCUUGCUAGAAAGUGAGCUCACAGAACUAAAGGUGAUGCUGGGGUUUCCAUUUACCAAAAUGUAAGUGCCUGCAAAACCAUUUUGCUCUCUGGAGACAGCAGCAGAAGGUCCAUCGCUAUUCCUAUGCUCCUUCAGGGGUGCUCUAUGAAACAGAGAAGACAGCAGCAGUCAGAGUAAAUAUUAACAGUCCUGCUCACUGCCGUAUGCUUCUGCUCCAGCUUUUAAAGCACAAUGAAAAUUGUCUGGCUCUGCUCAUAGAUGCAACAAAAGUCAUGGAUUUGAUGGAGAAUGAAGAAAGAAAAAGUAACAGUACCCAGAUACAGAUCCCUGCAGGCACAAUGCUUGCUAGAGAUGUGACUCAAGUAGCUGCUCCCCUCCCUGGUUAUUUCCAGAGCACAUGAAGUUUUUUUUCAGGUGAAAAUGCCACUGGUUUGUUUGAUUUGUUGACAGCCAGUACAAACCAAGGUUAUCCAUAUCUGGAUGGACUUACUGAUAUGCCAGGCUUCACACUUGUAGCCCAGAGCCCCAAUACCCUCAUCUUCCUCUUGAUUUGUCACAGUACAUCAGUGACAGGGAGGAGACAAACUGCUUUCAGAAAAGGAGUUGGGCUGAAUCCAAAGGUGAAUGCUGGUUUUAUGUGAGAAGUAUUUCACACAGAGUCAAGAAGAAAAUGAUCUGAAAAGCCUGCAAAAUUUCUGGGGCACUGGUAUCAGGUGCUGGAAGCACCUACAUGUUUUGGAGUGACUCUGCCUUUUUGAGAGCAGGAAGGAAGGAAAACAUAUUACUUCUUUACCACAGGAGCAUCCUGCCCCAAUACCAACAUCUUCACAGAGAAAUGGUCCUCACUUGAUUUUCAUCUUUGUGUGUGGUACAGCGUGUUCACAGAGGGAAAGAAUACAGCCACAAGGCAGAAGAUCAUCAGCAUACUGAGGCACUGCAUAAGAGCGCUCAAUGUGAGGUUACUCCAUUACUUGCAAAAGGCUGUCCUGGCUGCCAGAGCUUGCCAGGUAGCCAGGGCAAUGGGGAAUGAAGCUAGGAUAAAUGUAAGCUUCAGCAAUGCAAAUAAAGGCAAGAAACUCUA